AUCCUUUCUACCUCCUUAUUCAGAGAAGGAAGGAUCUUCUCAUGCACAGAGGCAACAAAUGGCAACUUUCUGAGUCCUCAUCUAUAAAAUGAGCAUAAUAACAUCACCUACUUAAUUGGAUUUGGUGAGGAUUCACUGGGUGAGUUCAUGCAAAGCGCUGAGAACAGGACCCCCCGCCCCCAGUGAGGAGAUGACACCUAGACUGAAGUAGCAGCAGUAAUGAGCUGACAGCCUCACAUCUACUUUUGGUGUGCCGUGAAUAAGCCAUAUGAUCUUAGGUGGUUUGGGGAAAGUGUAGGGGCAACCAAAGAUCAUCGGCUUGACUAGGCCCUUUGCCCUGAACCUCAUGAAGAAAUGAUAGGAGGCAGACAUAUGUGCCUAAAAAGAGCGUUGAGCUCAGAGAAGAGCAACUCGGAGUUUUGGGGGUGUGCUUUGAUUUGUGUACAUCAAUGGCAGAAUCAUCCAGCGAAUCAGAUCACUUCCGCUGUCGUGACCGAUUGAGUCCAUGGGCUGCCAGAUCAACGCACAGGGGAACUCGAAGUCUU
rnacentral:lncRNA from 10 species